rnacentral:rRNA from 1 species
UACAGAGGGUGCAAACGUUGCUCGGAAUCAUUGGGCGUAAAGCGCACGUAGGCGGCCCAGCAAGUGGGGAGUGAAAGCCCUCGGCUUAACCGAGGAAGUGCUUUCCAGACUACUGGGCUUGAAUACUGGAGAGGGUCGCGGAAUUCCCGGUGUAGAGGUGAAAUUCGUAGAUAUCGGGAGGAACACCAGUGGCGAAGGCGGCGACCUGGACAGAUAUUGACGCUGAGGUGCGAAAGCGUGGGGAGCAAACAGG